AUGUAGGAAAAAAGCGAAAAUGCAAAUAGAUGAGAAAUCCCAACUUAUUCCUUUGGCCAUUUCUGUAACCAAAGCUAUUGGCUGGCCAACACAAAGGAGCUGAAAUUUCAUAGCGACAAAAAUAGGUGCUAGAGGUACCGUGCAAGCAAGCAUGGCGACCGCGAUCAUGCUGCAGUGGCUGGGUAUAUCCCCUCCCGCUAGCUGAGGAUGGGCUCGAUGAUGGGGCUCCUACCCUUACACAGGUAUAUUCCCACAUUGAACUCGAUUAUUGCAAUGAUUGGGUUGAUUUGGACAUACUGUGCCUUGAAUGACUUUUCCCGUUGGGCAAUUCAAAUGAUGGAAGCCUCUUCUGACCCUUCCACCUCUCCGGCCUCACCACUGGA